rnacentral:rRNA from 1 species
UAACGCGUAGGUAACCUACCUCAUAGCGGGGGAUAACUAUUGGAAACGAUAGCUAAUACCGCAUAAGAGAGACUAACGCAUGUUAGUAAUUUAAAAGGGGCAAUUGCUCCACUAUGAGAUGGACCUGCGUUGUAUUAGCUAGUUGGUGAGGUAAAGGCUCACCAAGGCAACGAUGCAUAGCCGACCUGAGAGGGUGAUCGGCCACACUGGAACUGAGACACGGUCCAG